rnacentral:rRNA from 1 species
UUUUCUCUGAAGUUUUCGGAUGGAAGAGAGUUCAGCUUAGUGGCGAACGGGUGAGUAACACGUGAGCAACCUACCUUUCAGUGGGGGACAACAUUUGGAAACGGCUGCUAAUACCGCAUAAGCCCACGACCCGGCAUCGGGCUGAGGGAAAAGGAUUUAUUCGCUUCAGGAUGGACUCGCGUCCGAUUAGCUAGUUGGUGAGGUAAUGGCCCACCAAGGCGACGAUCGGUAGCCGGACUGAGAGGUUGAACGGCCACAUUGGGACUGAGACACGGCCCAGACUCC